rnacentral:rRNA from 1 species
AGCAGUGGGGAAUUUUGGACAAUGGGGGAAACCCUGAUCCAGCCAUCCCGCGUGUGCGAUGAAGGCCUUCGGGUUGUAAAGCACUUUUGGCAGGGAAGAAACGGCCCGGGAUAAUACCCUGGGUUAAUGACGGUACCUGCAGAAUAAGCACCGGCUAACUACGUGCCAGCAGCCGCGGUA